GUUCAUCAGAAGCGAGCUCUGUGUCGGUCGAUCCAUCAAUGGGCGCUCGGUCGACGAGCAAGCUAGCUAUAGCUACAAGUAUAUCGAUCGAAUCCGAUGCGUAUCUCUAGCUGUUGACGACCCGGCAGUUGCGCCUGAUCUGUCCAGCGGUGCCGGUGAGCACCCCAACGUUGCCCAUCCUAAUCAUGGCUGCCACGAAGUCGGCGUUGAAGAGCGAGGCGCUGGCGCUGUACUGCCUCACCAGCGCGUCCUGCGACCCGCCGUUGAAGAGCUCCUGGUCCGAGUGGAACAGGCCCCUCCGCGACAGCAGGUUGGUGAAGUAGGCCGUGUCGAACCUCACCGGCGUCUGCACGUCGAUGGGCGCCAGGUUGCCGUCGCCGCCGGACCGCGGGCACGUCUGCUGCCGCAGCGCCGCGAAGGAGGCGUUGAUGUCGGUGUCGCCGUAGAUGCGGCCGCGGAAGGUGGUGCACCGGGCCUGCCCGAUGGUGUGCGCGCCCGACAGCGCCGUCAUGUCGCGCGGCGACAGGCCCUGCCUGCCGAACAGGGAGAUGAGCGUGCCGAGGCUGGCCGUCGGGGGCGGGAGGUUGCUGUUGGCGAGCGAGGCGCUGGCCGUCGUCGAGUCCCGCCGCCCGAGCGGCACGCUCCAGGUCGGCCCGCCGAGCUAUACGUAACGUACGGAGAUGCACAACGAAGCAAAGGAAAAGUGUCAGACGAUCGACGACGCGAGCGGUUUGACCGUCCAUGCAAACUAGCUAGAAGGCGCGCGCGUGCGUACAAGGUUGGUUCCGUCGCGCGCGGCAAGCGCGAGGAUGUCGGCGCACGACACGACGCCGGGGCACGCGGCCUCGACGUUCCGCUUGAUGGUGUCGAUGACCUCAAAGCCGCGCACCGAGUUCAGGUUCGGCCCGGCGGUCUUCUCCCCUCCGGCGUCGAGAAGGAUCGAUCCGUCGCAGCCCUGUCAUCAUGCAUCACCGUCGCAUACACAUGUCAUGAUGCAUCGCAGUCAAAUUAUUGAGCUGUGUGUUGUUAGCUAGCUGUUAUAAGAAUAUAUAAUAGUGUGAGGAUUCUAGCUAGUAUACUUGAACGAAGCAGUCGUGGAAGAAGAGCCUGAGCAGAGAGGCGCCCAUCCUCUGCUCACUUGCGACGGCCUGGGUCAUCGCCGCCCGAACGAUGCUCUGCAGGUUGGGGCAGGAGGACGCAUAGAACGUGGGCGAGAGCUGUGCGUGGGCGACACAGGAGAGGAGGGAAACGGCGACCAGGCAUUGCAUCAAGGUGGGAGACGCCAUGGCAAGCUGCUGCCUGUGCCUGCACGCUCGGUGAAUGAAGCUACUUGCUUAAGCCGUAAGGUCUCUCUGCGCGGCAGCUUCGAUUUGAGUCCCUAUUUAUAGUGCUUCGAGGUAGAGUUGCAUGGAUCCCAAUCUGUGUCCUGCGUGCGUCUGCAGUCAACCAUGGCUGCCGGGAAGUGGAAAUUUGGGACCAAUUCUUGCAUCAUCUUGUGUGCAUGAUCCAAGUGAGGGGAAGACCGCAAGAGUUGCAUACUCCUGGUCCUGGCCUACCCGAAAGACGCUGUUUCUUUCAGAGUAUAUGAAUGGCCGCAUGUGUCUCUA
rnacentral:misc_RNA from 1 species